rnacentral:rRNA from 1 species
AGAGUUUGAUCCUGGCUCAGGACGAACGCUGGCGGCGUGCCUAACACAUGCAAGUCGAACGGAGUUUGAAGGUAGCUUGCUACCUGAAAAACUUAGUGGCGCACGGGUGAGUAACACGUGGGCAAUCUGCCCGGAAGUCUGGGAUAGCAGCUCGAAAGGGCUGCUAAUACCGGAUAUCUUCAAGAAGUCGCAUGACUUAAUGAAGAAAGUUUUUUCGCUUCCGGAUGAGCCCGCGUCCCAUUGGCUAGUUGGUGAGGUAACGGCUCACCAAGGCAACGAUGGGUAGCUGGUCUGAGAGGACGAUCAGCCACACUGGAACUGAGACACGGUCCAGACUCCUACGGGAGGCAGCAGUGGGGAAUCUUGCGCAAUGGGCGAAAGCCUGACGCAGCAACGCCGCGUGAAUGAUGAAGGCCUUCGGGUCGUAAAAUUCUGUCAGGGGGGAAGAAGAUCUGACGGUACCCCCGGAGGAAGCCCCGGCUAACUACGUGCCAGCCGCCGCGGUAAUUC